CCAUCCGUGUGGAUGUGGACGUGUCCUCGGAAAUGCAAGCUGAGCCUGUCUAAAGUUACCCAGCCAGUAAUGUCGGGAGUAAACUUUGUGCUGAGGAUUUCUGCUUAAAGCUACGGUCUCCUUCCAGUCUGGAGAGUCUGAGGUGGUUGCUGGGGCGUCAUGAAACUGAGAGGUAAAUGCUCUGGAAUGUACAGACACCUCGUGCCCGCCAACAAAAGUUUAAGACUGCGGUCAGAUAUCCCAGAAGUCUACAGCCGAGAAGACCCCUCUUUUCUGUAUCCCUCUACCUGUUUCCACCAAUGUAUUUGAAAAGUGUGUUAAUUUAUGACCUUCUUUGCUGUUUCUAUAAAAACUGCUUAAAAUUGCUACCUCACUGGACCAUGGAAUGUGGGGUAACUUGAAUUAUCCCCAGGGCAUUGGCCACACGCAUUUGGCUCCAGAAUAAAGGCUCUCAUAUCCCCUUUGA